ACGCCAAUCGUCCUAGGGCAUGGACCAACGUGGAUUAGGGGGCGGCCAAAGCUCGGGCUCUCGAUAUGCUCGUGGAAUGCUGUCUCCUCGAUUGUGGCAGGCAUCGCGUGCCUCCGGCGUGCUUCGGUAUCUGCGCGCUCUGGACGCUGGCCUGUGGGCUCCCCAUUCGACCCGUCUUGAAAGACGGACCAAGAAGUCUGACAUGUGUGCGGGUCAAUGGGCGAGUAAACCCGUAAAGCGCAAGGAAGCUGAUUGGUGGGAUCCCCCCGAGGGGUGCACCGCCGACCGACCUUGAUCUUCUGAGAAGGGUUCGAGUGUGAGCAUACCUGUCGGGACCCGAAAGAUGGUGAACUAUGCCUGAGCGGGGCGAAGCCAGAGGAAACUCUGCUGGAGGCCCGAAGCGAUACUGACAUGCAAAUCGUUCGUCUGACUUGGGUAUAGGGGCGAAAGACUAAUCAAACCAUCUAGUAGCUGGUUCCCUNGAGGCCCGCAGCGAUACUGACAUGCAAAUCGUUCGUCUGACUUGGGUAUAGGGGCGAAAGACUAAUCAAACCAUAUAGUAGCUGGUUCCCUCCGAAGUUUCCCUCAGGAUAGCUGGAGCUCGCGUGCGAGUUCUAUCAGGUAAAGCCAAUGAUUAGAGGCCUCGGGGGCGCAACGCCCUCGACCUAUUCUCAAACUUUAAAUAGGUAGGACGGCGCGGCUGCUUGGUUGAGCCGCGCCACGGAAUCAAGAGCNCAUUGAGCCACACCACGGAAUCAAGAGCUCCGAGUGGGCCAUUUUUGGUAACCAGAACUGGGGAUGCGGGAUGAACCGGAAGCCGGGUUACGGUGCCAAAAUGCGCGCUAACCUAGAUCCCACAAAGGGUGUGGGUCGAUUAAGACAGCAGGACGGUGGUCAUGGAAGUCGAAAUCCGCUAAGGAGUGUGUAACAACUCACCUGCCGAAUCAACUAGCCCCGAAAAUGGAUGGCGCUUAAGCGCGCGACCUACACCCGGCCGUCGGGGCAAGUGCCAGGCCCCGAUGAGUAGGAGGGCGCGGCGGUCGCUGCAAAACCUUGGGCGCGAGCCCGGGCGGAGCGGCCGUCGGUGCAGAUAUUGGUUGUAGUAGCAAAUAUUCAAAUGAGAACUUUGAAGGCCGAAGAGGGGAAAGGUUCUAUGUGAGCGGAACUUGCACAUGGGUUAGUCGAUCCUAAGGGUCAGGGAAACCCCGACAGACAGCGCGUUUCGCGCGUGCUCCGAAAGGGAAUCGGGUUAAAAUUCCUGAACCGGGACGUGGCGGUCGACGGCAACGUUAGGAAGUCCGGAGACGUCGGCGGGAGCCUCGGGAAGAGUUAUCUUUUCUGUUUAACAGCCUGCCCACCCUGGAAUCGGCUCAGCCGGAGGUAGGGUCCAGCGGCUGGAAGAGCACCGCACGUCGCGUGGUGUCCGGUGNCAUUCGUCCUUGAAAAAUCCCACCAAGUGCUGCGAGCUCACCUCACCCGAGUUAGCCAAGCGUCGCGUGCGUUCCAUUCCAAACAGUUAAGCAUACGAUAUCAAGUAGCCUUUCGCGAAAAACAACGGCAUCGCCACUUGAGGAUUUCCGCGAUUCGGAGUGCCUCAUAAGUGAUCAGCGAAGCACCGAGAACAACGUCGGUGCGUGGAGACAUGCCGCAAUUAGAGGUUUUUAUGACCGUCGAGUGCAAUGCUGGAGACGCCUCCAAUGACGAACUCCGACGGACGUAUAUUGGCCUGCCAUGGUGGUGUCUUUGUCAAGUUGGAUAUCCGUGAACCGUGGCACCAAGGCAACUUGGCAACGUGGCGCCAUGGCACCAAGGCACCGUGGCGCCAUGGCACCAAGGCACCAAGGCACCAUGGCUCUGUGGCGCCAUGGCACCGUGGCGCCAUGGCACCGUGGCGCCAUGGCACCGUGGCACCUAGGCACCAAGGCGCCGUGGCGCCAUGGCACCAAGGCACCAAGGCACCAUGGCGCCAUGGCCCCUAGGCAUCUUGGCGCCAUGGCACCUUGCAUACUCAUUUUUCUACAUAUCCGCUCUAAUUUUUUUAUUUUAAAUAUAUUUUGAUGUUACCUCAUAUGUCGUGGCAGUUUUCGUAAUGUCCCGUCGCCUUCUUUUCAAAUUUUUAUUUAAUAUCCUUAAAUUGAAAUAUUUUAUAUCGUUACGUCAUUCGUACAAAUGCGCACUCAAUUGUUGGUUUAAGGCUACUUCAUUCUAAUAUGCAUAUUUUGGGGUUGUCACUUAUCCGUUGCAUUUUGGGUGAUUUUCCUAAUGACCCCAUGUUAUUUUUAUAUUUUUUUAAAAUUUUUAUUUAAUAUCCUUAAAUUUAAAUAUUUUAUAUCGUUACGUUAUACGUACAAAUAUGCACUCGAUUGUUGGUUUAAGGUUAGUUCAUGCGCUAAGAAUAUUUUCCUAAUUUUUUCAUAUUUUUAUAGAUAUUUUUUCUAUUUUUGAUUUAUUUUUACAUAUUUUUUGAAUUUUAUUAAAUGAUAAUUGUAAAAAAAUAUUUUCUCAACGAAAAUUAUCAUUUGCAAAUU
rnacentral:rRNA from 1 species